UUGACAGAAGAUAGAGAGCACUAAUGAUGAUAUGCUAAUUUCAUUCAGCAAAAGCAUCUCACUUCAUUUGUGCUCUCUAUGCUUCUGUCAUCA